UGGAAUACUGCCAGCCAUGCCACCUGGGGGCAUUCUGUGGCAAAGCUGGCCUGGCCGAGCCCCAGGGCCUGUGCCACCCUGGGCAUCACUGCGGGCCUGGCUCCAACACCUCGUCCCUGAAGGGACUCCCCUUUGGUGACCUCUGUCCCCCGGGUCAUUUCUGCCCUGCUGGCACCAAGGACCCCAGGCAGUGGCUCUGCCCGGCUGGCACCUGGAAUGCAGAGAGAGGGGCACAGGACAUAAGCUGGUGCCUGCCUCGCCCACCUGGGCUCUUCUGUGCCACCACAGGCCAGGCUGCCCCUGGGGGCCCGUAUGCACCAGGUUUCCACUGCCCAGGAGGGGCGCAGACCCCGACACCCCUUGGUGGGCUGUGGGGACACUUCGAGGGCUCCCUGGCGGCCACACCUCGGCAAGACGGGGAGCACAGCUACGGCACAGGCUGAGAGACCCACCAGGGGAGGACCUGCUCCCCAGGUCAUUACUGCCCCCAGGGCACUAGCCACCUCCCUAGGCCCUGUCCUCCAGGCGUGUCCAGUCCCUGGGAGGACCGAAGCCAGGCCCACAGCUGCCCGCCAUGUC